rnacentral:miRNA from 1 species
UUCUCAUAAGAAUAUCUAAGAAUCACCUGGUAAACUUGCUUAAAAUGUAGUUUUGGGACCAUCCCCAAAGACUGAAACUCACUGGCUGGAGUGGGGCCCAGGAAUCUGCAUUUUCACAAACACACAGGGUGGUUUUGCU